rnacentral:rRNA from 1 species
UACGUAGGGUGCAAGCGUUUGUCCGGAAUUAUUGGGCGUAAAGAGCUCGUAGGCGGUCUGUCGCGUCUGCUGUGAAAACUCGGGGCUUAACCCCGGGCCUGCAGUGGGUACGGGCAGACUAGAGUUCGGUAGGGGAGUCUGGAAUUCCUGGUGUAGCGGUGAAAUGCGCAGAUAUCAGGAGGAACACCGGUGGCGAAGGCGGGACUCUGGGCCGAUACUGACGCUGAGGAGCGAAAGCGUGGGGAGCAAACAGG